rnacentral:tRNA from 1 species
AGGAGCGUAGCUCAACUGGUAGAGCGUCGGUCUCCAAAACCGAAGGUUGCGGGUUCGAGCCCCUCCGCUCCUGCCA